rfam:Picea glauca, whole genome shotgun sequence.
GCAAGCCGUAUGCGGUGAGAGUUGCACGUACGGUUACGGGGGGGUUAACAUCUAUACGUAUAGUGUGGUGGACUACUCCAU